GAACGAACGCUGGCGGCGUGGAUAAGACAUGCAAGUCGAACGAGAGAAUUGCUAGCUUGCUAAUAAUUCUCUAGUGGCGCACGGGUGAGUAACACGUGAGUAACCUGCCCCCGAGAGCGGGAUAGCCCUGGGAAACUGGGAUUAAUACCGCAUAGUAUCGAAAGAUUAAAGCAGCAAUGCGCUUGGGGAUGGGCUCGCGGCCUAUUAGUUAGUUGGUGAGGUAACGGCUCACCAAGGCGAUGACGGGUAGCCGGUCUGAGAGGAUGUCCGGCCACACUGGAACUGAGACACGGUCCAGACACCUACGGGUGGCAGCAGUCGAGAAUCAUUCACAAUGGGGGAAACCCUGAUGGUGCGACGCCGCGUGGGGGAAUGAAGGUCUUCGGAUUGUAAACCCCUGUCAUGUGGGAGCAAAUUAAAAAGAUAGUACCACAAGAGGAAGAGACGGCUAACUCUGUGCCAGCAGCCGCGGUAAUACAGAGGUCUCAAGCGUUGUUCGGAAUCACUGGGCGUAAAGCGUGC
rnacentral:rRNA from 1 species